UUACGGCCAUAUCACGUUAAAACACAGGUUCCUGUACGAUCACCAAAAUUAAGCAACGUCGAGCCUGGUCAGUAGCAAGAUCGGUGACUGCUUGGGAAUGU